GCGGCGGAGCUGAAAUUUCUUCUUCCCUCUAUCCCUGUCAAAUUAACUAAAUCCAUCUCUAUCCUCUAUUGGAUGCUUUAUCGCUCUUGAAUUCUUCCUCCCUGCUCUCGCCGUUCUCGUAUCUCUCUCUCUUUCCAUCUCUUCCUCGAAUUCUUCGAUUCCGAUCGAAGUCCUGGGGUUUUCCCUUUUUGCUCUUCGAUCGAUUAGGGUUUUCGGAGAUGCUGAGGUCGCGCCGGAGCCAUCACCAGCUCCACCAGAACACUAUCAGGCGCCGAACCGCCGGUGGCAGCGCCGCCGCGUCCCUCGCCCCGCCGCCGGGGUCCAGGGACAAGUUCGCGUCAUUGGACAGCCGCGAGCCGGAGGAGCGAGCUGGGCGGUCGGAGGAGUCUUCCAAGUCGUCAGCGAACUCCUCGUCUUCUUCGGCCUCUACGGCAGCUCCUUCUUGUAAUCUGGAUCGUUUCUUGAAGUCCACUACUCCAUCAGUUCCCGCUCAGUAUCUCCCAAAGACGAGGUUGAGGGGGUGGAGGACGUGUGAUGUGGAGUACCGGCCAUACUUCACGCUGGGGGACCUAUGGGACUCCUUCAAGGAGUGGAGUGCCUACGGUGCUGGUGUUCCUCUCGUUCUGAAUGACAGCGACUGUGUUGUCCAGUAUUAUGUUCCCUAUUUGUCCGGCAUCCAGUUAUAUGGUGAAGUAACCAGUCAGGCACUCAGUUCUUGGUGGCCUGGGGAGGAGAGUGAUUGUGAUUGUUACAAGGAUUCUAGUAGUGAUGGAAGUAGUGAUUGUGAUAAUGAAAAGGACAUUAAAUAUUCUUUGAAUUGGAAUCAGAACCAUCUGGCUGGCACCUCCAUGCUUAGGAUGGAUAGACUGCCCUUGAGGGAGAAGCAUGCAACUCUGCAAGAAGGGUUUUCAAGUGAUGAUGGUGAAGCUGGGAAUUCUCAAGGUUACCUGCUGUUUGAAUAUCUCGAACAGGAUCCUCCUCAUAGUCGUGAACCUUUAGCUGACAAGGUUGCAAAUCUAGCAUGUUGCUUUCCUGAAUUGAGAAGCCUUAGAAGCUGUGAUUUGUUGCCAGCAAGUUGGAUUUCUAUUGCAUGGUACCCUAUAUACCGUAUACCAACCGGACCAACACUAAAAGAUUUGGAUGCCUGCUUCCUAACCUUCCAUGCUCUUUCAACAUCAUUUAGAGGUGCUGAUACUGCUCUUCCUGUCAUUACCUAUUCACAUGGGGUUGAUGGUGUUCCAAAGAUCUGUCUUACUGCUUUUGGUCUGUCCUCCUAUAAGUUUAAACCCUCAACGUGGACUUCUAGUGGAGGAUGUGAGAGCCAACUUGCUAGCUCCCUAUUGCAAGCUGCUGACAGCUGGCUCCGACUCCUUGAUGUCAAUCAUCCAGAUUACCUGUUCUUUGCUUCGCAUGGUGCAUUCCGCAGAUAGAACUUGGAUACUGAAUCACUUCGAGCUUUUUUUAUUUCACUACUGUAGGAGUCCCAGUUAUUGUUGUUUAGUUACAGUUACACACGCCGGGAAGUUCUGAUGGCAGGAUCACUGCAUGCAAGUGGUUCUUACUAUCAGUUUGUUAUCUCCUGGGAAUAAUUUUAAAAAAGGAGGAAAAAUAAUGAGACAAUAAAUAUAGCUAAAAUACAAUGGAAAAGAGCAAAAAACGUCCCGGUUCGAUGUGAUGGAAAGAUGAAAAAGGAAAUAACCACUUCUUAAAGGAAUAGAAAGUGGACAAAGGUGGAAAGAACAAGGGAAAAAAGGAUUCAGAUGCUGGAUUGCGCCAUAAAAGAGCAUCUGGAGGAUGGUGGAGUAUCUUUUAAUUUCUUUGCCCUUCUCUUUUGCAUGUACCUCAAUGAUUGUGAGAUUUUCAUGUCCUGACAGGUUAGCACAUCUUUUAAUUUUCUUGGGGUUUUUCUCUGUAUAUUUGAUGAUGCAUUGGGGUACAAUUCAGAUACAGAUACUGGAAGGAGCCAGUUGAGAUGUUCUCUUUUGUGUUGCCUCUUGCCAAAGUGGAAGUUACUGCUAGUUCUAAAUACCAAAUACUGGGUGGAAGUUCUAAUGGUACUUUGUUGUGUUUCUUGGCUGUUAUUCAAGCUUGCUCAUGAAGCACCCUCUAGCAUGCUGAAGACACCUUGCAUGCUGCUUUAAUUUUUUGUUUUUUUGACAUCAAUAUUUCAUGCACCA